AAAUAAAUAACCGAAAACAAUCAAUGGAGUAUUUUUCAGACAUAAGGAAGUAAUUUUCCCAAUAAAAACUUUUUGUCACUUUAAUUACCAUCAGGGACACUUUUCUUGUCUAUCUUUACAUAUUUCCCAUCAAUGCUCUUCUUCCCUGACAGCAAGCAGACAGCAAGGAAAUCCAUAUGUUUCCGAGUACAGCAAUCAAGGCAUA
rnacentral:lncRNA from 1 species